rnacentral:rRNA from 1 species
AACGAACGCUGGCGGCAUGCCUAACACAUGCAAGUCGAACGAGACCUUCGGGUCUAGUGGCGCACGGGUGCGUAACGCGUGGGAACCUGCCUUUAGGUUCGGAAUAACUCCGAGAAAUUUGAGCUAAUACCGGAUAAUGUCUUCGGACCAAAGAUUUAUCGCCUUUAGAUGGGCCCGCGUUGGGUUAGCUAGUUGGUGGGGGAAAGGCCUACCACGGCGACGAUCCAUAGCUGGUCUGAGAGGAUGAUCAGCCACACUGGGACUGAGACACGGCCCAGACUCCUACGGGAGGCAGCAGUGGGGAAUAUUGGACAAUGGGCGAAAGCCUGAUCCAGCAAUGCCGCGUGAGUGAUGAAGGCCUUAGGGUUGUAAAGCUCUUUUACCCGAGAUGAUAAUGACAGUAUCGGGAGAAUAAGCUCCGGCUAACUCCGUGCCAGCCGCCGCCGUAA